ACCGUUUGGCAAUGGAUCACUGGGCUCUGGCAUCGAGGAAGAACGCAGCGAAAGGCGAUAAGUAGUGUGAAUUGCAGAAUUCCGCGAAUCAUCGAAUCUUUGAACGCACAUUGCGCCCCUCGGUAUUCCGUGGGGCAUGCCUGUUCGAGCGUCAUUUACACCCUCAAGCUCUGCUGGGUGUUGGGCGUCUGUCCCGCCUCUUGGGCGCGGACUCGCCUCAAAGCGAUUGGCGGCUGGUACCACGGCCUGGAGUGCAGCAGAAUUGCGCCCCUCGCCCGCGGUCUGGCUCCCAGAAGCGAACCUUUUUUACUUGUUUGACCUCGAAUCAGGUAGGGAUACCCGCUGAACUUAAGCAUAUCAAUAAGCGGAGGCU
rnacentral:misc_RNA from 1 species